rnacentral:rRNA from 1 species
AGUCGAACGGCAGCGAGGAGAAGCUUGCUUCUCUGUCGGCGAGUGGCGAACGGGUGAGUAUAGCAUCGGAACGUGCCAAGUAGUGGGGGAUAACCAAACGAAAGUUUGGCUAAUACCGCGUAGGCUCCAAGGAGGAAAGUAGGGGACCUAAAUAAGGCCUUACGCUAUUUGAUCGGCCGAUGUCGGAUUAGCUAGUUGGUGGGGUAAUGGCUCACCAAGGCAAUGAUCCGUAGCGGGUCUGAGAGGACGAUCCGCCACACUGGGACUGAGACACGGCCCAGACUCCUACGGGAGGCAGCAGUGGGGAAUUUUGGACAAUGGGGGAAACCCUGAUCCAGCCAUGCCGCGUGUAUGAAGAAGGCCUUAGGGUUGUAAAGUACUUUUGUUAGGGAAGAAAAGCUAGUUUUUAAUAAAAAUUAGUGAUGACGGUACCUAAAGAAUAAGCACCGGCUAACUACGUGCCAGCAGCCGCGGUAAUACGUAGGGUGCAAGCGUUAAUCGGAAUUAUUGGGCGUAAAGCGAGUGCAGACGGUUACUUAAGCCAGAUGUGAAAUCCCCAAGCUUAACUUGGGACGUGCAUUUGGAACUGGGUGACUAGAGUGUGUCAGAGGGAGGUAGAAUUCCACAUGUAGCGGUGGAAUGCGUAGAGAUGUGGAGGAAUACCGAUGGCGAAGGCAGCCUCCUGGGAUAACACUGACGUUGAGGCUCGAAAG